ensembl:lncRNA MIR4435-2HG MIR4435-2 host gene
CGUGGCCCUAUGAAGAGGAAGACUGAAAUUUAGACAGUAAUACCUUUACUAGGAUUGGAAAAGAUUUGGUUAAUGACAGCCCUGUCAUUUCUAAAACCCAUUAUCACUGUAUGAGAGAUUCCUUUGCGCUGCAUCCUCGACAGUGCUUCCUAAGGCUCUGCCGACUUCCAGUUCUGGAACAAGAUGGUUAAACUCAUUUUUCCCUGCUCUGCUCCUCUAAAUACAACUAAGUACCUUGGAAACUAUUCAGCAGACAAUGAUAAAGGGCUCUGAAAGCUAGAAGAAAAGGUGUACUUGCAAGAAACCUCAGGACUUGAGUAACAGCAACAUGGCAGGCCAGAAAGCAGACCCAGGGAGGAUAGCACAUGUCUUCGGCUACACUGGUGAAGGCAUCGUGCCUGCUCCACAGCACAUUUUUAUUCAAGAUGUGUACCAUGUGAUGGCCAAGGGAGCUUCAUCAAUCAUGGCAUCUCAAGGGAGCUGGAGCAGAUGAGGAGGAGAUGGAGGUCCCAGGAAGGGCUGUGAUCUGCCUGGGGUCCCACAAUGGGAAACAGGCAUGAGCUCUCCACACUCCCUGUCCAAUGCUCUUUCCACUACAACUGGCUGUCGGUCUCCCAUAGGACAAGAAAAAACAGUCAAAAAGGAAAUCGAAGGGAUUUUUGUUUUUAUCCCUGUUCUUUUGUUGGUUCUAUCUGUUCUGUUUUGGGUAUUUUGUUUGUUUUUAUUUGUGUACUUUUUUUUUUUUUAAAUGGAGCUUCCAUCAUGUAGGAGUAGGGUGUAGAAAUCUGAGUUGGUGGCUCCCUGGUAUAAGACCAUAGCCUUCAUUUUGGUGAGUAACAACAUAAUUUCUGCUUUGAGUCCCAUUUUCUUGCAGUGGAAGCUUAAUCUCAGAGUAUCAAAAUCACUGCAUCUGAGCGUGGGCCUCCCCACAUCAUGGGAGGAGAAGGAUGAGUAGAUGAUGUCUCAUGGAGAGGACCUGCCAGGAUCCCUCAUCGCUGGCCUUCAGCUUUCUCAUCUGCCCUCAACCACAGAACCCUGGGAGGAGGCUCCCUCAGUGGCUCGUGCACUCUUGCAGGCCCUGUGAACAUAUAUACUUCCUGGUGGGAAGAGCAAGGGAGCCUCUGGUGGAAAGCAGCCCCAGGGUCCAAGAACCACACAGCCCUGCAUUAGGGCCCCCAGGGAGGGAGAAGACCAAGGUCAUGCUUUUGAACCUGGAUGCCAGAAGAGAACAGCUGUGGGGAAAAGCAUGCCUGGAACCAAGAAAAACAUGUUUACCAGGGGCCAUUCCUCACACCAGCUGCAGGCAGGGUCAGGAAAGCCACAGGCUGCACUGUAGUUGCAACCUUGCAUGCGGACGCAAGGCUCAGAAUGUUCCUCAAAGAUCCUAAAAUGUUCCCAGAGUCAGGCUGAGUCCAUUCAAAUGUUCACUCACCCUGGCCACACUCACUACACCUGACUUCCCUGUAUCAUGAGUUAGAGAAAUAGUAUAGAGUCUGGUUGAUGCUGGCAGGUGGGAGGGAAUGGGAUAGGAAGGAGAGAGAGAGAGAGCAAGAAAGAAGGCUGUUUGGGUUUUUGUCUAUAACAUAUGUAUAUACACUCAUCAAGUCCAUUAUUUAAAACCUCUUUCAUGGUUUCAAUUUCCUGUGGACCACUUUUCAUGCCCAUUUUAAGUUCCUUGAAGGCGAGGAGAUACAUGUGUAUCUGCCAGCUUCACUGUGCCUUAUAUCUUAGGCAAUCAAUAAAUAUUAGUAAAUCAAA